rnacentral:rRNA from 1 species
UACGUAGGGUGCAAGCGUUAAUCGGAAUUACUGGGCGUAAAGCGUGCGCAGGCGGUUUUGUAAGCCAGAUGUGAAAUCCCCGGGCUCAACCUGGGAAUGGCAUUUGGGACUGCAAGGCUGGAGUUUGGCAGAGGAGACUGGAAUUCCCGGUGUAGCAGUGAAAUGCGUAGAUAUCGGGAGGAAUACCGAUGGCGAAGGCAGGUCUCUGGGCUAUAACUGACGCUCAUGCACGAAAGCGUGGGAGCAACAGG